rnacentral:rRNA from 1 species
UCCGUAGGUGAACCCUGCGGAAGGAUCAUUAUUGAAAUAAGAUUGGUUGGGUUGUUGCUGGCUCUGAGGGGCAUGUGCACACCUAGCACCAACUUUCUUACCACCUGUGCACUUUUUGUAGACUUUCUUGGUUUGGCGCAACGGCUUUCCAGUCUAUGUUUUUUUAUAAUAUACACCUAAAGUAUGUUUCAGAAUGUCAUUUAAUGGGCUUUAACUGCCUUUAAUUACCAUACAACUUUUAACAAUGGAUCUCUUGGCUCUCGCAUCGAUGAAGAACGCAGCGAAAUGCGAUAAGUAAUGUGAAUUGCAGAAUUCAGUGAAUCAUCGAAUCUUUGAACGCACCUUGCGCUCCUUGGUAUUCCGAGGAGCAUGCCUGUUUGAGUGUCAUUAAAUUCUCAACCUUUUCAAUCUUUUAUUGGUUGAAUUAGGUUUGGAUGUGGGAGUCUUUGCUGGCUUCUUUAAGAGGUCGGCUCUCCUUAAAUGUAUUAGCAGGACCGUUGUUGCCCUCUCAGUGUUAGUGUGAUAAUUAUCUACGCUAUUUGCUGAAAGCAACUCAUAAAAUAGGGUUUCCAGCUGCUAAUUGUCUCUUGUAGACCAAUUUAUAUGACAAUUUGACCUCAAAUCAGGUAGGACUACCCGCUGAACUUAAGCAUAUCAAUAAGCGGAGGA